GGUGAGGAAGGGGAGGGGACUAGAGGCGCGGCUAGGGGGUGGUCGCGUCGUCGUCGGUACCGCUGGCGGAUGUUGGAGUCCAGGGCGCUGCUCGGCCUGCUGAAGCUGCUCAAGCUGAGGUGCGGGAUGCCGCCGCCGAUGCUGGAGAAGCGGUGGAAGCCGGCGGGCGAGGGCGGGAGGCUGCUCUGGACGAUGGGGACGAGGCGGGGGAGGUGGAGGAUGCUGCGCGGGGUGAUGCGGCGGCUCCUCGGGAGGGGGAUGCGGGUGGUGGUCUUCGGGGUCGGGCGGAUGCCGAAGGCGGGGGUCUUGCUCGUCGUCGUCGUCGGGAGGAUGCCGGCGCUCCUACUGAGGCCGAUGCCUAGGUCCGGGUUCGGGUUCGGGGUCGGGCGUAUGCCGAAGGCGGGAGUCCGCCUCCUCGUCGCGGGCAGGAUGCCGCCGCCGCCCCUCCUGCUGAGGCCGAUGCCUAGGUUCGGCGUCGGGCGGAUGCCGAAGGCGGGGGUCGUCCUCCUCGUCGGCAGGAUGCCGAGGCCGAUGCCCAGGUUCGGGGUCGCGAGGCUCCUCCUGUGGAUGCCUAGACCGAUGCCGGCCUUCGGCGUCGUCCUCCUCGGGCGGAUGCCCAGGCCCAUGCCGAGGCCGAUGCCCUCCUUCGGCGUCCGGCUCCUCUCGAUGCCUAGACCCAUGCCCUUGUGCUGCGUCGGCCUCCUCCCGAUGCCGAGGCCGAUGCCCAGGUUCGGCGUCCACCUCGUCUGGAUGCCGCCUAGCCUCAUGCCGAGACCGAUGCCUUCCUUCGGCGUCCACCUCCUCUCGAUACCCAGCCCCAUGCCUUCGUCCGGCGUCCCUCCCCCUCUCCUCAUACCAUCGCGACCCAUACCACCCUCCUUCUGACUCCUCCUCCCGAUACCACCGAGACCCAUACCUAGACCCUCCUUCCACGUUCCCCUCCUACUUCCACGCAUGCCGAGACCACCCAUGGUCUUCGGGUUCGGCAUACCUCUCCUCUGGGUCCCAAGUAUACCACCACCCAUGCCGCCCCCUUUGAUACCGGCGUUCUUCGUCCUACUACUGAGACUACUGCUCUUCUUCUUGGCAAUGCGGUUCGCGCUACUGAGGCUACUACUCUUCUUCCUCGCAAUGCUCUUCGUGGUGGUGGUGGCGGCGGUGUUGAUGCUGCUGAUUCGUAGGUCGUACCAGAACUGGACGACGGUAGCGGGGUGCAGAGCGACGAUGUGCUUAUUUCUACCAGAACAAAGGGAACAACCACGGCCUAGUAAGGGGAAAAAAUACUUGAACAUACUGACGUUGGAUUUCACACGAUACACCCACCGAAUAUACA
rnacentral:rRNA from 1 species